AGUGAACGCUGGCGGUAGGCCUAACACAUGCAAGUCGAACGGCAGCACAGUAAGAGCUUGCUCUUACGGGUGGCGAGUGGCGGACGGGUGAGGAAUACAUCGGAAUCUACUUUUUCGUGGGGGAUAACGUAGGGAAACUUACGCUAAUACCGCAUACGACCUACUGGUGAAAGCAGGGGAUCUUCGGACCUUGCGCGAUUGAAUGAGCCGAUGUCGGAUUAGCUAGUUGGCGGGGUAAAGGCCCACCAAGGCGACGAUCCGUAGCUGGUCUGAGAGGAUGAUGAGCCACACUGGAACUGAGAAACGGUACAGACUCCUAAGGGAGGCAGCAGUGGGGAAUAUUGGACAAUGGGCGCAAGCCUGAGCCAGCCAUACCGCGUGGGUGAAGAAGGCCUUCGGGUUGUAAAGCACUUUUGUUGGGAAAGAAAAGCAGCAGGUUAAUACCCCGCUGUUCUGACGGUACCCAAAGAAUAAGCACCGGCUAACUUCGUG
rnacentral:rRNA from 1 species